CUGAUGGCGAGGUAGGACUAGGAAUCGUACGACGGGUGAAGCGCUAAUUCCUUGCGCGCUUUGUUAAUGUUACGUAACUCCGAUGCAACCAUUCUUGUACUACGUAAACGCCAAGCUGUCUGAACAAUUUCACUCGAGUACUAUAAGAGCACCUCGCUUCACCAGCUGUAUGAUACAUUCGUACGCAAUUCAUGCGACAAUUCAAACAAAGAGAUUCUUCUGGCAAUCGGACAGUAAAGUUGAGUUCAAUCAUGGCAGCGGACUACAGCCGAUGACCAUCCAGAUUUUAAAGCGAACGCAACUAGUUCCGUAACUCAAACAAAAACUCAAUCGACUCCGUCGUGCAUCGUUUGGAGAAUCCAACGAACAAUCUAGCUACACGCCCCAAUCAAGCCAGCACGGAUAUCAAACAACGUCAGGAACUGAAUAAAUUGGCCGACCGUUCCCCAAGGCUGGGCCAGAGUUGAAGACUACAUCGUAGACGACUUGGCUGACUAAUCGGACGAUGAAAAACAUUCCGGAAAGCAGAAUAAUGGCGACGACCAACAUGACCAAGCAGGCAGAAGCUGCAGAAAAAACCCAAACAAGGCCAAUGCUCGCAAUCCUGUACGCCCUCUUCUUGCUGCGCAUUAUUCAUCAAUGCUUCGGAAUCGACCAGUUCCACACCUGCUUCCAGUUCCAGUGCGGAACUGCAGGCCACGUCGGAACCAACUCUCAUUCCUUGGCCUUGCGACACGUAGACAGGCCUCGCUCGCCGAUUGCAACCUUGUUCAGCAAACUUCUUCAGCAACCAGCGAUUCCGCCACAACAUGGCAAGAUUCAACGACCUCUGCCCAAAGGAUUAACGUUGCCAUCUUCCUGGUUCAGCCAAUCAAUCUCUGCAAUGUUCCUUGCGUCAUGUCUUCCAAACAAGCACAAGCAUUGUGUAAAGGAAAGUACCUUUUUUUCACCCAGCCAUAAUGACGCAGCACUUCGAUGCUCAUGGACACUAGGCGGGCUGCGAUUUUUUUCUCCAAAGGACAUCCAUUUACAUGCAUAUCUAAUGCCUCGUUCUCCAUAACACAAACCCAAGCAGUGCGUUCGUUUCCUUCCACCGCGCUUACUCGUGCUAGUGGCCUGAUGAACAGGGGUAAUAAUUGUGAAGCGCUUUUUUUUUUUUUUUAAAAAAGGAGCACAUUAAAUAUUAUUUAGUCAUUCAAUAUUAUAGUUUUUGACCACCGUUUUUUUUUUAUCAGGUGACGUUAAUUUGUGAUAUCUCUAAUUCUCACUAGCUCAUAAGUUUUAUUUCUCAUUCAAUGUUUAAUAUAAAGGCUUAAUUUGUUUCCAUUUAAUUCAUUUCAUUCAUUUAACAGAUUAUUGGUUGUGGUACAUAUAUACAUCUAUGUAAACAAUUGUUUACAUAAAUGUAAACCACAACUGUAAAUGUCAUUCACCUUAUUUGUAAUGUGUUAUUGUUUUUUCCAUUUUACAUUUACACCUUCAAGUAAGUUUUGAUGCCCCCAAAUCGGUUCAAGUAGCUAAUUUGCAGUAUGUUGAAUCACAGCCGUCAGCUGUGGUGCAGUGGCUAGACAGAGUGUAUUAUAUUUCUGUUAUUUUUUUUUCUUGUUAUUGAUAACAGACCAAAAACCAGACCAAAUACAGGUACAUUUAGUAGACAAAUAGCAUGAAGGAACAAAAGCAUUAACUUUGUUCCAUAUAAUAUUUUUCUACUUAAUGUACACGUAUUUCGCCUAAGAGUUGAGAACAUUUUCCUAACAAAUUAUUGGGGAGGGCAAAAACGAAGUGGUUAACGUCACUUAUCAAAACGAAAUAACCUGGGAAAACUAAGUCUCGUCGUUAACUUGACCAUCAUUAAUAUUGUCCAAAAAUGUAUAAAUAAAAAAGAAAAAAAAGUUCCAGAAUUCGCCCCUUUCGUUCACCAUAUCACGAAAUGUGUUGCAGAAUUCGCCCCUUUCGUUCCCGAUAUCACAAAAUUUGUUGCAGAAUUCGCCCCUUUCGUUCCUGAUAUCACAAAAUUGAAUUUCCGAAUUUCCGACAUUGGGUUUCAAAUUCAAUCUUAUGAUAUCGGGGACGAAAAGGGUGAAUUUCUGCAAAUUCUCACACAGCGCGACGCAGAAAGACUCGACGCAGAAAGACAUACACGGUGACCUUAAAAGACACAGUUAUGGGUGAAGACGCUCAAAGCGACGCUAAAGACACUCACCACAACACAUGAAGACUGUUGUCACGACACGUUAAGACAUACACAGCGGAGCAUUGAAGACAAAGCAACACGACGCGUUUAGACACCAAUCGCGCCGUUUGAAGACAACUUAACACGACGCAUGAAGACACACCAUGCAACGCAGAAAGACAUACACAGCGACCUUUUGAAGACACAGCUACGCGUGAAGACGCUCACAGCGACGCGUGGAAACUCUCACCGCAACGCAUGAAGACUGUUGUCAAGACACGUUAAGACAUACACCGCGCCGUUUGAAGAUACUCAACGCACAGCGCGACGCAGAAAGACAUAUACCGCAACGCAUGAAGACUGUUGUCACGACACGUUAAGACAUACACAGCGGAGCAUUGAAGACAAAACAACACGACGCCUUUGGACACCCAUCGCGCCGUUCGAAGACAACUCAACACGACACAUUAAGACACACAAUGAGACGCCGAAAAACAUACACAGUGACCUUAAAAGACAGGUUCGCGCGAAGAAGCUCACAGCGACGCGUGAAGACCCUCAUCGCAAUGCAUGAAGACUGUUGUCACGACACGUUAAGACACACACCGCGCCGUAUGAAGACACUCAACGCGACACAUUUGACACCAGAACGCGACGCAGAAAGACAUACACCAAGACUUUUAACGACGUUUACGGCCACGCUUGAAGACAUUCACAGCGACGUGUCAAGACACUAAACGCGAGGAAGAAACACAUACACCGCGUCUUUUAACGACGCUUAACGGCGACUCCUGAAGACACAUACCGCCACCGGUGAAGACUCCGCGACGGGUGAAGACACUCACAACGGCGCGUGAAAACAGUCACUUCAACGCAUGAGGAUUCUUGACACGACGUGUUCAGACACACCACGCCGCGCCGUUUUAAAACACACAACGCGACGCACCUUUGUGCGUCGCGUUGAAGAUACUCACAGCUACACUCACAGCGACGUGUAAAGACACUCACCGCGCCAAUUUAAAGACUACUCAAGUAGCUCAUCCAGUUCGACUCGGGCAAAGACAAACGAUUGAUUUUUUUGAAGUUCCAGACCCUUUAGUCUUUAUUAAAAACGCUUACCGCAACGAAGACAACACGAUGCAUGUGUAUACAUGCCACGCAACCUUUAACGACACUACCUCGACUCGUUAAUACGACACUCACAGCGAUCCUUGAAGACACUCAUCGCGACGCAUGACACACAACGCGAAGCAGAACGACAUACACAGCGACCUCUAACGACGAUUACCGCGACGCUUGAAGACACUGCAAGACUCAUCAUCGAGUCGUAAAGACACCUCAACGCGACAAUUAAAGACGCAGAACGCGACGCAGAAAGACACACACAACGACCUCGAACGGCGCUUACAGCGACGCGUUAAUACACUCAUUGCGACACCUUACAGCGUUGCGUGAAGACAUUCACCGCGACUCAUAAUCACACACAACGCUCAGCAGAAAAACAUACAAAGCGACCAUUAACGACGAUUGCCGCGACGCUUGAAGACACUGCGACACUCACAUCGACUCGACAAGACACUCAACGCGAUGCAUGAAGAUUGUUGUCACGACGGGUUGGGACACACACGGCGCCGUUCAUACACACACCGCGCCGUUUGAAGACACUUGGCCCGACGCAUGAUCACACACAAUGCAGAAAGAUAUACACCGCGUCUUUUAACGACACUCAACCGCAACGCAUGAAGACUGUUGUCACGACACGUUAAGACAUACACCGCGCCGUAUGAAGCGCUCAACGUGACACAUUAAGACAAAACGCGACGCAGAAAGACAUACAACGCUUGAAGACACUCACAGCGACACUCACAGCGACGUGUGAAGACACUCACAGCGACGCAUGAAGAUUGUCGUCACAACACGAUAAGACACACACCACGCCGUUUGAAGACACUCAACGCGACGGAGAAAGACAACAACAAAAAGCAUCUUUGAACGACGCUUACGGCGACUCUUGAGGACAUGUCACCGCCACGGGUGAAGACACCGCGACGGGUGAAGACACUCACAACGACGCGUGAAAACAGUCACUUCAACGCAUGAGGAUUCUUGACACGACGUGUUCAGACACACCGCGCCGCGCCGUUUUAAAACACACAACGCGACGCACCUUUGUGCGUCGCGUUGAAGAUACUCACUUCAACGCAUGAGGAUUCUUGACACGACGGGUUCAAACAAAGCGCGCCGUUUUAAAACACACAAAGCGACGCAGAAAGACAUACACCGCGUCUUUUAACGACGCUCGGCAGAAAGACACUCACCGCGACCACUCAAAGCAAAAUUGUUGACACGACGCUUUCAGACACACAGCGCCGUUUAAAGACAUUUAACGCAACGCAAUCUUGAUUGCCACGCGACGCAGAAAGCGACGCAGAAAGACAUACACCGCGUCUUUAAACGACGCUUACGGCGACGAUAGAAGACACCGCGACACUCACAGCGACCGUUGAAGACACUCACAGCGACGCGUGAAGACACUCACAAUGACGCGUGACGACGCAUGAGGAUUGUUGUCACGGCGCACACACCGCGAAGUUUGAAGACUCGUCGAGGUUCAGUAACCGCACACACAGCGCGACGCAUAAAGACAAACACAGCGACCUUUGAAGACACGGCUACGCGUGAAGACGCUCACAGCGACGCAUGAAGGCACUCACCGAAACGCAUUAAGAUUGUUGUUAAGACAUACAGCGAAGCAUGAAGAUUAUUGACACGACGCGAUCAGACACACUGCAAUGUUUUCUAGUGCACAACCUGACUAAUUAGUCACAUUGAUCUUCACAAUUAAUUACCUUUUAAAUUCACAUGAAGUUAUUUUGGGUCCGUUCACAUAGGUCCAUUCCCAUAUUUGUCCGUUACGACUUGCCCAUUAAGACGCACAACAAGACGAAGAAAGAUACACAACGACGGUUAUGCAGCUACAACGUUUACUGCGACCCGCUAAAGCGCACAAUGCGCCGCUUGAAGCAAAUACUAACGACGUUUUUGGUGUUUUUUUUCGUCAAGGAAUCGUCGGUUACUUUUUUUCUGAAGGGCUUUUGUGGUGGAAGUAAACAGAAAGAGCAAUAUAUUUCAGGCAGGGCAGCAACGCGUAUGGAAGACUGCCAUUUUGGAAAGUUUCAAAAUCGUGGGCACUUUCGGGUGUCGCCUCUUUAGUCCAUAAACCCGUGCAACUCGUGCGACUCGUGUUGUGUUGUCUUCAUGGUCGAGGUAGUGUCUUCACGCGUCGCUGCAAUUUGCUGACAGCAGGAACAAUAUAACGGAAUGUCGUUUUGUUUAGUUUUCCGACGCUAGUUUUCCGAAGAGAGGAGAAGAUUAAAGUUAGGUCAAUCGUUCACCUGCAGAAUGGUUCCCGUUGUCCAGAAGUGGACAAAGAUCGGUGCAGCCCGGUCUCUGAAGCUGCUUGUUACGAUGUCGUCAUCCUUCCGAAAAAAAAAUGCGACGCAGUUUGUGUUAGGGUUUAGACGACCGAAUUGAAGUGGAUGCUGUGUGGACAAAGGAACACCUUUGAUCAAGAUUUUUAUAUUUUGAUAUAUGAUUUGGAUCCCUAGGGUUCGUUAAACAUAUGUGAACAUUUUUAUUACCAUAAUUUAAAAUGCAAAUUACAAAUUUGUAUUAAGUAAGCCUACAGUAGCCAAAACCGGUUGUAUUCAUUUUAAUAGCCGGUAAAUACUCUCAGGCACUAAAGGGUUAAAUACUAAUUUUGACAUCGUAAAAAGGUACUCGGAUGACAGCUUCAAUUUACGUGUUCCUUUGCACGGAUGGAUACCCAUGACGUAUUUUUAUUUUGCCUGUGAAGAUUGAUGUAGUAUUUUAGAUGUCUAUAUUUCAUGUCUUUCCAGUCUUUUUACGCCCGCUGAGCCGAUUACUUGAAUAUCUUUGUGUCCCACAAAUACAAGUCGGUUUCAUUCAAUAUGUAUCAGGUUUUUUUCUAUAUGUCAUAAUUUUUUUGUAUCCAGAAAUGAACACUUAUUUCUCAGCAUUUAAGACCUCUUGACAUUAUACCGCUCUUAAAAUUUUCACAGGCAAUUUUUUCCCCCUACCUCUCAAUGGUCAUGCAAGAUCGAUAACGGUUAGGCCGCCUUAAUUUUAUUACAAUUUUGAUUAGAUUAUAGGUACAUAUUUUGUAUAUUAGAGAUCAAUUCAGUCAGAGAGUAGUUUUGCAUCAGUCUCUUUUUCUUAUUUAUUUAUUCAUUCAUUUUCAUUUCAUUUCUUGCACAUUAUUUUGAAAAAAAAAUUAUCUAAUAAUAAUAUUGGUUUUUAUAUAAAAAUAUAAAUACUUUUAUUAUCUAAGUAACAAACACACGUUUACUUGCACUUUUUUUGCGGAAGCUUAAAGUGACUAUCCACGUUUCCACGUUUCUUUGAUAAUUUAUCUCGGAAAGAUAGAUUAAACAGAUAUUUAUGACGUGUUACCCUGGAAAAAAAAAAAAAAAAUCUGUCCGAGAUACGAUAGUAUCUCUUUUUUUUUUCUUUUUUUCAUUUAUUGCGUCUAGCAAUGUUGCGAGAAAUAAAAAUUUCUCGCAACAUUGUUUACAUUUUUUAGAAAAACAUACGUACUUAAUACAUAGUUACAUUAUAUUUAAUUAAUUAAAAUAACAUGUUACAAAAACUUAUUCCAGAAGACUGUUUUUUUCUGUAAUUUAGCUCUCCAAUAAAGUUCUCGAAUGAAAGUGUCAAAGUUGAUAAGUUUGAUAAUUUAUCUCGGAAAGAUGGAUUAAACAAAUAUUUAUGACGUGUUACCCUGGAAGAAAAAAAAAAAAAAAAAAAAAAUUCUGUCCGAGAUACGAUAGUAUUUUUUUUUUUUUUUUAUCAUUUAUUGCGUCUAGCGCUUUUAUUUCUCGCAACAUUGUUUACAUUUUUUAGAAAAACAUACGUACUUAAUACAUAGUUACAUUAUAUUACAUUAAUUAAAAUAACAUGUUACAAAAACUUAUUCCAGAAGACUGUUUUUUUUUCUGUAAUUUAGCUCCAAUAAAGUUCUCGAAUGAAAGUGUCAAAGUUGAUAAGUUUGAUAAUUUAUCUCGGAAAGAUGGAUUAAACAGAUAUUUAUGACGUGUUACCCUG
rnacentral:lncRNA from 1 species